rnacentral:lncRNA from 1 species
AAGCAUUCUGGAAUGGUGGUUCUUGAUAUUGAUGUUGUGAAGGGCGAAAUCUUUCCAAAAAGAGUUGCUUAAGAUCUUUCCAAUUGGUGAUGGAUCCACAAGGAAGACAAAACCGCCAAUACCUUGCCGCUCCAGCUAACGAGUAUUCAAAUGCCCUUAAGAACAUGUCCUUAUCCAAGACAUUUGGAGGUUUCAUUGAAGAGUAGAUGGUGUAGAACUCCUCCAAAUGUCUAUAUGGGCAUUCACCUG